rnacentral:rRNA from 1 species
GGGUCAGUAGGUUGGUCGUGCCACCGGUACGUACUGGUCUCACUGAUUCCUCCUUCCCGAAGAACCGUAAUGCCAUUAAUUUGGUGUUGCGGGGAAACAGGACUGUUACUUUGAAAAAAUGAGAGUGUUUAAAGCAAGCUAACGCUUGAAUACAUUGGCAUGGAAUAAUGAAAUAGGACGAUCGAUCCUAUUUUGUUGGUUUCUAGGAUUGACGUA